CGCUGACAGGGGGCAGACACGCGGUGAGGGCUGUCGGGAGCGGCUGUGCGGGGUCAGUCUGUGAGUAGCGAGCCGGGCCUGCGGGCGGUGUCCUCUGCUGGGAUGAAGGAAAAGUUCAGUGUCUGUGUAUUUACCCCUCAUGUACAGACGCCGGGGGGAUAAAGUCGCACAGAUAGAGAGGUCCCAUCGCACUGAAAGAGGAAUGAUCAAUAUCAUGUCCCUGUUGGUGAUUCCAGGAGUUGCAGUUCAGCACCUGGAACAUGGCAGGAUACUCACUCCUGAGCUUCUUACAGGUGGUGAAGGAAAAGUCCAGUGGCUGUGUAUUUACCCCUCAUGUACAGACGCCGGGGGGAUAAAGUCACCCCAGAUCGAGAGGUGACCAGCAAUGGGUUAAAAGGAAACUUUUCCUAAUGGUUAAACCUGAGACAAAACUGUAUAACGUUGUGCAGUUUACGUGCCGCCCGCUCUAGGUCCGAUCGCACUGAAAGAAAGGAACCAUCAUGCCUGAGAUGAAUUGUCAGUUGGUUGCAGGUGCCCCUACUGUUUUGUUGUGGUUUCAGCUUUCUCCUGGGGGUGAAGUCCCUGUCGUUGGGGGUUGCAGUUCGACACAUGGAAUAUGGCAAGAUACUCUCUCUCAGGGCUCUCGCAGGAAAGGCUCUUCCAUCCCUUCAUUACUUUUAGGCCAGGUCUCCCUUUGAGCCCCCCUGUGGGAUAUGUUGGUGCUUUAUAAAUAAAAGCUAAGUUGGUGGCUCCUGUAGCAACUCCUUGUAGCCUUGAACAAGUCACUUAAUCUCCCUACUCCCCCGGCACCACGUUCUGCUGUACCAACCUUGUGUCCUAUACCUCCUUCUUUUUAGAUUGUAAGUUCCAUUGUGCGGAGCCCUUCUGUAUCUAUUUAUUAUCCAUAUGUCUGAUGUAUGUAUGUCUGUCGCACAGCGAUGCAGAAUAUGUUGGUGCUUUAUAAAUACACGUUACUAAUACCCAGGCAGAGUCAGACUGUGCCUAAAUUGUUGUUUGUGCAGUCCUGUGUUUACUUAAAUGAAUAAAUACCAUUUUAUAUGCUUGAAAUCCA